rnacentral:misc_RNA from 1 species
GAUGAAGAACGUAGCGAAAUGCGAUAAGUAAUGUGAAUUGCAGAAUUCAGUGUAUCAUCGAAUCUUUGAACGCACAUUGCGCCCGCCAGUAUUCUGGCGGGCAUGCCUGUCUGAGCGUCAUUUCAACCCUCAUGCCCCUAGGGCGUGGUGUUGGGGAUCGGCCAAAGCCCGCGAGGGACGGCCGGCCCCUAAAUCUAGUGGCGGACCCGUCGUGGCCUCCUCUGCGAAGUAGUGAUAUUCCGCAUCGGAGAGCGAUGAGCCCCUGCCGUUAAACCCCCAACUUUCCAAGGUUGACCUCAGAUCAGGUAGGAAUACCCGCUGAACUUAAGCAUAUCAAUAAGCGGAGGA